rnacentral:rRNA from 1 species
UACGAAGGGUGCAAGCGUUAAUCGGAAUUACUGGGCGUAAAGGGUGCGUAGGCGGUUCGUUAAGUCUGUCGUGAAAUCCCCGGGCUCAACCUGGGAAUGGCGAUGGAUACUGGCGAGCUAGAGUGUGUCAGAGGAUGGUGGAAUUCCCGGUGUAGCGGUGAAAUGCGUAGAGAUCGGGAGGAACACCCGUGGCGAAGGCGGCCAACUGGGCCGGACCUGACGCUGAGGCGCGAAGGCGUGGGGAGCGAACGGG